rnacentral:rRNA from 1 species
CCAAUAGCGUAUAUUAAAGUUGUUGCAGUUAAAAAGCUCGUAGUUGAAUUUCGAGAUCAAAUUGUUGGUCGUGCCUUGGUACGCACUGGCAUUAUUGGUUUCUCCCUUCUGACGAACCAUGAUGUCAUUAAUUUGGUGUCUUGGGGAAUCAGGACUGUUACUUUGAAAAAAUUAGAGUGUUUAAAGCAGGCUCACGCUUGAAUACAUUAGCAUGGAAUAAUGAAAUAGGACGUUUGAUUCUAUUUUGUUGGUUUCUAGGAUCGACGUAAUGAUUAAUAGGGAUAGUUGGGGGCAUUAGUAUUCAAUUGUCAGAGGUGAAAUUCUUGGAUUUAUUGAAGGCUAACUACUGCGAAAGCAUUUGCCAAGGAUGUUUUCAUUAAUCAAGAACGAAAGUUAGGGGAUCGAAGACGAUCAGAUACCGUCGUAGUCUUAACCAUAAACUAUGCCGACUAGGGAUCGGAUGAUGUUAAUUUUUUAAUGACUCAUUCGGCGCCUUACG